rnacentral:tRNA from 1 species
UGGGGGUAGCGAGACUUGAACUCGCACGACAAAUAAGUCGACAGAUUUUAAGUCUGUUGUGUCUACCAUUCCACCAUACCCCC